CGCGGGAUGGAGCAGUCUGGUAGCUCGUCGGGCUCAUAACCCGAAGGUCGUUG
rfam:Lactobacillus kalixensis DSM 16043 Scaffold84, whole genome shotgun sequence.